GAUGAACGCUGGCGGCGUGCCUAAUACAUGCAAGUCGAGCGAACAGACGAGGAGCUUGCUCCUCUGACGUUAGCGGCGGACGGGUGAGUAACACGUGGAUAACCUACCUAUAAGACUGGGAUAACUUCGGGAAACCGGAGCUAAUACCGGAUAAUAUAUUGAACCGCAUGGUUCAAUAGUGAAAGACGGUUUUGCUGUCACUUAUAGAUGGAUCCGCGCCGCAUUAGCUAGUUGGUAAGGUAACGGCUUACCAAGGCAACGAUGCGUAGACGACCUGAGAGAGUGAUCGGCCACACUGGAACUGAGACACGGUCCAGACUCCUACGAGAGGCAGCAGUAGGGAAUCUGCCGCAAUGGGCGAAAGCCUGACGGAGCAACGCCGCGUGAGUGAUGAAGGUCUUCGGAUCGUAAAACUCUGUUAUUAGGGAAGAACAAAUGUGUAAGUAACUAUGCACGUCUUGACGGUACCUAAUCAGAAAGCCACGGCUAACUACGUG
rnacentral:rRNA from 1 species